UACAGAGGGUGCGAGCGUUAAUCGGAAUUACUGGGCGUAAAGCGUGCGUAGACGGUAGCGUAAGUCAGAUGUGAAAUCCCACGGCUCAACCGUGGAACUGCUGGGUAUACUGCUCGUCUUGAGCCAAUCAGGGGCGAGCGGAACAGACGGUGGAGCGGUGAAAUGCGUAGAUAUCGUCUGGAACGCCGAAGGUGAAAACAGCUCGCUGGGAUUGUGCUGACGCUGAGACACGAAAGCCAGGGGAGCGAACGGG
rnacentral:rRNA from 1 species